UGGGGAAUAUUGCACAAUGGGCGAAAGCCUGAUGCAGCAACGCCGCGUGAGUGAUGAAGGUCUUCGGAUUGUAAAGCUCUGUCUUUUGGGACGAUAAUGAUGGUACCAAAGGAGGAAGCCACGGCUAACUACGUGCCAGCAGCCGCGGUAAUACGUAGGUGGCGAGCGUUGUCCGGAUUUACUGGGCGUAAAGGGUGCGUAGGCGGAUGUUUAAGUGAGAUGUGAAAUACCCGG
rnacentral:rRNA from 1 species